rnacentral:rRNA from 1 species
ACUUGUUCUAGUUAGGUUCAUUCUUUUUUACUGUGAACUGUUUUAAUUUUCAGCGUUUGAGGAAUGUCUUUUAGUCAUAGGGAUAGACUAUUAGAAUGUUAACCGAGCUGAAGUCAGGUUUAGACCUGGUAUCCUAUUAAUUAUUUACCAAAAGAAUUCAGUAUUAUUAUUGUAACAUAAGCGUAAAAAACUUAUAAAACAACUUUUAACAACGGAUCUCUUGGUUCUCGCAUCGAUGAAGAACGUAGCAAAGUGCGAUAACUAGUGUGAAUUGCAUAUUCAGUGAAUCAUCGAGUCUUUGAACGCAACUUGCGCUCAAUGGUAUUCCAUUGAGCACGCCUGUUUCAGUAUCAAAAACACCCCACAUUCAUAAUUUUAUUGUGAAUGGAAUUGAGAAUUUCGACUUGUUUGAAUUCUUUAAACCUAUUAGGCCUGAACUAUUGUUCUUUCUGCCUGAACAUUUUUUUAAUAUAAAGGAAUGCUCUAGUAUUAAGACUAUCUCUGGGGCCUCCCAAAUAAAACUUUCUUAAAUUGAU